GCCCGGCUAGCUCAGUCGGUAGAGCAUGAGACUCAGGGUCUCUCAGGGUCGUGGGUUCGAGCCCCACGUUGGGCG